rnacentral:rRNA from 1 species
UACGUAGGGGGCAAGCGUUGUCCGGAUUUAUUGGGCGUAAAGGGCGCGUAGGCGGCCAACUAAGUCGGACGUGAAAUCCCCAGGCUCAACCUGGGAACUGCGUCCGAUACUGGAUGGCUUGAAUCCGGGAGAGGGAUGCAGAAUUCCAGGUGUAGCGGUGAAAUGCGUAGAUAUCUGGAGGAAUACCGGUGGCGAAGGCGGCAUCCUGGACCGGCAUUGACGCUGAGGAGCGAAAGCCAGGGGAGCAAAGCGGG